AGUGGCGGACGGGUGAGUAACACGUAAGAAUUUGCCUUUAGGAGGGGGACAACAACUAGAAAUGGUUGCUAAUACCCCAUAUGCUUUCGAGUGAAAUGGAUUUUUCCGCCUAGAGAGAAGCUUGCGGCUGAUUAGCUUGUUGGUGAGGUAAUGGCUCACCAAGGCGACGAUCAGUAUCUGGUUUGAGAGGACGAUCAGACACACUGGAACUGAGACACGGUCCAGACUCCUACGGGAGGCAGCAGUGGGGAAUUUUCCGCAAUGGGCGAAAGCCUGACGGAGCAAUACCGCGUGAGGGAUGACGGCCUAUGGGUUGUAAACCUCUUUUUUCAGGGAGGAAUCAAUGACGUGUACCUGAAGAAUAAGCAUCGGCUAACUCCGUGCCAGCAGCCGCGGUAAGACGGGGGAUGCAAGUGUUAUCCGGAAUCACUGGGCGUAAAGCGUCUGUAGGUGGUCCAAUAAGUCAACUGUUAAAUCUUGAGGCUCAACCUCAAAAUCGCAGUCGAAACUAUUAGACUAGAGUAUAGUAGGGGUAAAGGGAAUUUCCAGUGGAGCGGAGAAAUGCGUAGAGAUUGGAAAGAACACCGAUGGCGAAGGCACUUUACUGGGCUAUUACUAACACUCAGAGACGAAAGCUAGGGUAGCAAAUGGGAUUAGAUACCCCAGUAGUCCUAGCCGUAAACAAUGGAUACUAGAUGUU
rnacentral:rRNA from 1 species